CCCUUCUCAGGAUGGCACCUGGAGAGUUUCCAGUCCUCUACCAGUCUCGGCUACGAGAGGGAGAAUCCAACAGAGGCAUUCCCAUUCCAAUCCUAGCUUGGGCAGUGGCUAGCGAGUGGAAGGCCAUCUGCAAAACUC
rnacentral:snoRNA from 1 species